rnacentral:rRNA from 1 species
CAGCAGCCGCGGUAACACCGAGGGUGCAAGCGUUAAUCGGAAUUACUGGGCGUAAAGCGCGCGUAGGUGGUUUGUUAAGUUGGAUGUGAAAUCCCCGGGCUCAACCUGGGAACUGCAUCCAAAACUGGCAAGCUAGAGUAUGGUAGAGGGUGGUGGAAUUUCCUGUGUAGCGGUGAAAUGCGUAGAUAUAGGAAGGAACACCAGUGGCGAAGGCGACCACCUGGACUGAUACUGACACUGAGGUGCGAAAGCGUGGGGAGCAAACAGGAUUAGAUACCCGCGUAGUCCCUGUCUCUUAUAC